AAUCCUGCCAAGUAAACUAGAGAUUGUCAUUCCUGUUACCAAAAUCUUCUAAUGGCUUCCCAUUUCAGUCCAUGGAAAAGCCACUGUCCUUACAAGAGCUUACAAGGCCCUACCCCUGCACCCCAUCCACCUAUUUCUGCGACUUCAACACCUACAACUGUGUACGCCUUCCUCUGUCACUGUUCAGACCACACUGGCCUUCUUACAGGUCCGAAGAGAAAAGGGGAGAGCAUCAUUUCUAGAGCUUGGAAGACAAGGCAACUUGACAAGAGCAGUGGCGUUCAGUAGAGGUUUAACGCCCACCUGACCUUUCCCGCCCUUCUCCCUCUGGUCUCCUGCUGGGGCUCUCCAUUGUCUUAACCCACAUUGAAGCCACAAGACAAAGGAGCUCGUUGGUGAUGCCCAUACAGGUCAGCUGCCUGGACAGCGAACAAACUGUAAAGGGACAGAGAGUGGGCCUGGAGGGAACAAACAAAGGUGUGUUAGGGAUAGUCCAAUUAUUACAAUUUACUAAAAGAAAAUGCAGAGACUUGAAUUUUCUACAUGAUUUCCUUAAUACUCAGUUUCAGCUAGCCUAUGCCUAUAGGCACAAAAAUAAUGAACUCUCACCUUCCUGACUUCUUUUUCUUUUUUUUGAACAUUUACAACUGCUUUUUUGUCCUAAAGGCAAUCAGGAAAGAAAGUGAUUAAAACACUUAUGAAGAUUAAUAAUGCUGUCUUCAAAGUUCAGUGGAAAAAUUAUUUUGGUAAAAUUCUAAAAUUUGAGAAAACGUUUCUAUAGGAGAACUGGAUAAUACCCACUUUGGACUAAAGAGAAUUGAGUUUGUGCAGUCUAGUAAGUAAAGGUUGUUUCACCAGGGCAGAAUGCGGAAUCACAAUCACCCGAAACCACAAGCGGAAUUCAUACGUCUCCCUGCACAGAUACCCAUAUUUUGCCAUUGCUUAAGUUUCCUUUUUGUUGUUGUUGUUAUUACUCUGGAAGAUAAUUCAAUUCAUAUUGCACAUUUCCUCACAGAAAAUUUGAAUCUUAUGAAUAUAAAAAUCAUGGACUUGGCCCAAUUUUAUUUUAAUCAGUUUUUCAGUUUCCUAAUUCAGGAUUAGCUUCCCAGUAUAUAUGCAGACAUUUAGUAACAAGUGCAACAGUGUGCACAUUAAAAUAUGGAGAGUUUCAGCAGCAAUUUGAGUUAUAGUAAUUACUGGGUUUGUUUACACAGACAUAGAUGAAAAGUAUAACCUUUUUCUUUUUUUUUAAUUUGGAAAAAUCAUGUGCUACCAGCAGAAAAAAUUAUACAAUAGUUGUAUAAUGUCAUAGAGGAAAUCAGGUGCAACCAAUGAGACUGAGAAAUAAAGGGAUCAAAAUCAUAUAAGGUAGUGUCUUAACUAGGCAUCCUUUCUCCUGGAAUUAGCCCCAAUAGUAGAGAAAGGCUCUCACAGGCACAUUCUGCUCAGAAUGAUUGCCACAACCUUCACCAGCACCCAAAUCACCUGCCCAGUGGACACCAGGAUCUCCAUUUACCAAUUCCAGUGCAAUCCCAAAGCCAUCUUCUACUGCGCUUUGGCAAUCAUUUGUCAUAUCUUGUUCCCUGGCCCCAUUUGCUCCAUCUGGGAAAUCAGACUGAUUGAGAUGGGGUUUGUAAAGGGGAAGGAGAGAAGAGGGAGGAAAAUGCCCUCUCUGCUACCCUAGCAACUGGGAGCCAACAAGAGAGGCACUAGUGUUCUUGGGGAAAGUGGGAAAGUAAGUCCAUCCCUGGGGACACUCAGAAACAGAUCAGGCCUGCUUUUGAAAGGCUUAUUGAUACCAGAUCUGAAAGCUCUCCCAAGACACUCAGAUUACUGCUUUCAUGACUACAGGGCUGUUUCUCUAAAGGCAGCAAGCAGGCAUACAGAGACCUUCACAAGUCUUACAAUGAUUAAAAAGGGGUAAAAUUACCCAAAUCACCAAUAAUUCAUCUCAAUAUCUUCUUCCACCUAUUCUACCCUAUUUCCAUAUCAAAUUGACUUACUGAGCCAUCAAUUCAGCUAAAAGGGAAGUCCUAUUGAUUGUUUAAAAUAUCCGUUUUAAGUCUUGUGGUAGACAGAAAAAUGGCCUUCAAAGAUGUCCACACUCAGAUCCCCAGAACUAUGAAUUUUAUUACCUCACAUGGCAAAGGUGACUUUGCAGAUGUGAUUAAGGUCACCAACCUUGAGAUGGGGAGAUUAUCCUGGAUAAUCUGGGUGGGGCCACUCUAAUCACAUGAGUCUUGAAAGAGAAGAAACUUUCUCAGCUGUGGACAUAGAACCAGAGAGGUGGCAGUGGCAGCAUGAGAAGAAUUCAACUUGCUGCGUUGGCGAGGAAGACGGAAGAAGGAGGUCACAAAGCAUGGAAUGCAGGCAGCCCAGCAGCUGGGAAAAGCAAGAAAAUGGAUUCUCCCUCAGAGCCUCUAGAAGGGAGGGCGGCCUUACCAACAUCUUAAUUUUAGUCCAGUGAUACCCAUGUCGGACUUCUGACCUAAAGAACUGCAAGUUCUUCCAUUCCUCAAUGAUCGCCAAAGAACAUAUUCCCCCGAGGAGGAGUUUGAGAGUUUUGUUCAAACUCACAAAAAACUAAGACAGCUCAACUGUCUAUUGGAGA
rnacentral:lncRNA from 1 species